AUUGAACGCUGGCGGCAGGCCUAACACAUGCAAGUCGAACGGCUGAAGAGAACUUGCUUCUUCUUUCAGCGGCGGACUGGGGAGUGAUGCCUGUAAAUCUCCCUCCUAGUUGUGGAUAACGUCCUGAAACAGGGACAACUACUGCAUACGUCCAGAAGACGUAGGUGGGUAACCGUCGGACCUUCGGAUCUCAUCCGAUCCUAGGUUGGAUUAGCUAGUUGGUGGGGUAAAGGGCUACCAAGGCGACGAUCCGUAACUGGUCUGAGAGGAUGAUCAGUCACACUGGAACUGAGACACGGUCCAGACUCCUACGGGAGGCAGCAGUGGGGAAUAUUGGACAAUGGGCGAAAGCCUGAUCCAGCCAUGCCGCGUGGGUGAAGAAGGUCUUCGGAUUGUAAAGCCCUUUAAGUGGGGAGGAAGAGCAGUAGGUUAAUACCUUGCUGUUUUGACGGUACCAAAAGAAUAAGCACCGGCUAACUUCGUG
rnacentral:rRNA from 1 species